rnacentral:tRNA from 1 species
GGAGAGGUGGCCGAGCCCGGCUGAAGGCGCUUGACUCGAAAUCAAGUUCACGGGGAACCGUGACGGGGGUUCAAAUCCCUCCCUCUCCGCCA